AGAAACGAACAUCAGGAUGAUGGCGUUUCUUAACGUAGGACACGUCAGGAAGGCGUUACAGGGAAGGCUUCAGGACGAAGCAAAAGGAUAACGCAGGAUGCGUGAAGGACACCUCCAGGACGGAGAAUGAGAGCCGGUAAGGAUGUCCGGUGGGUCAGGAAGGCCAGGACGUUUCAGGAUGAAACCGUCACAUCAGGAUGAUGUGCGCAGGAUGCAGUGGUCGAGGGAAGACCAGACCUUCGGGUCAGAGGAAAAGUUGUCACGGAUGAGCAGGGAGCACUAAAAGUAGCUGGAUUGCUGCGAAACGAACCGGGAGCACUGUUUUUACAGUGCUCCCUUUUUUUAU
rnacentral:other from 1 species